UCAGUUUCUUGACACCAGGCCAUAUAACUCUUUGGGCCUGAUUCGCUCCAGGCCCAACAUUCAAAUGCUCGGCAUAGUACAACGUCUUGAGCGCGAAGUCACCGUUCCACGGAAGCCAUCCCGCCCGAUCAAUUACGUCAUCGAUCGUUGUCUUCAUGACGAUCGUCCUCGAGAACUCCUUCCACGGUCUCCCUAGAUACGCCUUGCUCGCGGUUUUCACCGGAAUAUACGCCGGAUCUCCCACUAUAUGGCAGUUAUGGAGCACUAUUCCCGUCGGUUCACGGACGUCGCUGCGUCCCUGAGCGGUGACCAUACACGACUGACCUGCCAUAGGUUUGCGCAAGACGAUUUUGCAGUUUUGGAGGAUGCAUUGCGAGUCGCCGAAGAUGAAGUCCACGGUGCCGGAGACUGUGCAGUCACGGUAGAAUUGCCGUUGAGAGUGAACGUAUAAGGUGUCUUGGUAACCGUCGAUUUGACAGUCGAAGAACACGGCGUAGUCCCCCGAGACUCUUAAGGCUACCGCUUGGCCUCCCUCUGGUCCAGCCGUGUUCUCCAUCCCGAUGCCCUUAGCUGUGAAGUGUUCACCCUCUACAGCUGCACAUAUAAGAAAGGUCGGUCAUGUUUAGACGCGGAGUUGACUUAAUGGAUAAAACUCUUAGAUUAUGUCUAAACAGUCAUAAGUUCGAAUAGGCAUGUGGGUUCGGUUAGUUAGGGCUAUUCUGUUCAGGUAGUUCAGUUCAACAUAAAUCUUACUGAGUUAACUUGAAAUAAAGUUUGGUUCCAUAUAAUAUUCGGUUAUUUCAGCUUUUGCAAAUCCUACUAAAGUUUUUGAUUUCGAUUAAACUUUUGUUUAAUUUUGUUAAAAAAUCGAAUUUAUUCGGUUAGUUUGGUUCCAAAUCUGGUUACUUCGGUUAGUUUAGUUUGUAUGGUUUGGUAUAUAUAUUUUAAAGAAAACCAAAGUAACCGAUGCCAAGUUAAACCGAAAACUGAUUUUUUUUAGAAAACCUACGGAAUCGAACUAACCGAAAUUUCGGUUCAGUUAGGCUGGUUCGGUUCAUAAUCUCAGGCUAAGUUCGAGAGUCCGGUUGGAAAAUGUCUGCUCAUAUAGGAUGAUGUAGGGAACUUCGGACCAUAAUUUACUUGUCAUUAGAAUAGACAAAUUUCGAAUCUUACUUAGGGGAGCUGUUAGGUAAGUCUUGACUUUUCCAAUACCAAAGUUAAGACUGCCGGAGAUAACGGUCUUGGUUGGUCCAUCACCGAUGAAAGUGACGUACGGCAUCUUCCUAGUGACCACAACUUUCUCCUUGUAGACACCUUCUUUGAUGUGGAUGACGAACGGCACUUUGUUCUCUUUAGGCACAGCGUUUAGAGCAUCGUUGAUAGUCUUGAACUGUCCACUUCCGUCUUGAGCCACCACAGCAUUAGCCUUCACUGGUGGUCCUCCCGGUGCUCCCAUGAGCCUCCUCGCCUCUAGUCCAACCCACGUUGGCACACCAUCUUCUUGAUCAGUAGAUAAAAGCUUUCUAGCGUUGUUUUCAAGAGCUCCGGUUAGUUCCGUGGCGUUGGAGUUGAGGUCAGUCACCAUUGCAAGACUAUUACUGCUUAGCUGUCUUGAUCUUUUAAAAAUGUUGAUCAUAUCGUGCUUAAGAGUAGAUUUAAUCUCCUCAAAAGUAUCAAUACAAGUCUGCUGGAACGCGAUGGAGCCACUUAUCCAAACCCUAAGAUCAUCGAUAAACCUUUCAAUCUCAUCGACGGAGACCUUAUGAUCACCACACUUUUUCAAAUCAGCAAUAGCGUCGUUCAUUACCUUCUCGCAAAGCUCAAAAGCGUCUUUAGCUUCAGGGUGUUUGUCAGCUUUGUGUUUAACGUCUUCAGAGGCUUUCUUGAGACCUUCUUGAAUGGAUUUGAUGGUGACGUUGAAGCUGAGUUUGAUUAGGGCGAGUGGCUCGGUGGAUUUGGGAGACGCGUCCAUUAAGCUUUUGAGGCAAGUCUCUUUGUAGUCAGUGGGUGCACAAACUGUUUUAACGGCUUUAGUGUUUUGCCUGAUCUCGUUUUCGUUGGGUGAGUUUUUGGAUGCUAUGAUGGCUACAGAGACAACCAUGAUGACUAGCAAACCCGAGACAACACCCGCUAUGAUGCAUUUCUUCUUCUUGUCACCAUCAAGCGCCAUCUUUUAUACAAAACUUAAAAGGUCCAAAGAGGUAAAAUUUUCAAGAUUUUUUUUUUCUAAUGCGUUUUAUUUUUUAAAUGUUGGAAGUGGAGCAGAGGGGGCCUUCCAAGUGUGGCUAUAAGGCCCCUUCUAGCUCUGGUUUUAAUUUAUUUUUGGUGAGUGAUUUUUUUUUUUUUUUGUAACCAAAGCUUUUUAUCAAAGUUUCAAUGCAUUUGACAGAUAAAAUCGUGUUGAAGUUUUACCUGUAUCGCAGACGAGAAUCAACGCUUCAUUGUAGUUGUCUUGUUUGACGAACCUUCGUCUCUUGCUCCGUCCAUCUGGAGAAACAAACACAGACACAAAUCAUAAGGCUGGAAUGAACACAAUAAACUAAGAAACAAACACAUGCAUAGCUUUACCUUUCUUUGAUUUCGAAGAGGAGAGCUCCAGCCGCGAGAGAGGUUUGAAGUGAUUCUUCGUUGCGGUGAGCCGUUGAGAGAGAGAUGUAGCCUUUUCAUCCUCGAGGAGAUCGACACCGCGAGACGCCAACAGAUUCAAGGAGAUCGACACCGCGAGACACCGGGAGACGAACCGCUUUCAUCAACGAUUGAGAUCACCGUCGAUUGAUCACGGAGGCGUCGAGGGGAGAUCGGUUUCCUCGAGAGAGAUGGGUUCGGCGGAGUCGUCGAGAGAGAAUCAGAAGAGACUUGUGUCUCGCGAGAGAGAGGGGGAGAGAGAGAGAGAGAGAGAGAAAAGGACAUCAAUUACGUCAUCGAUCGUUGUCUUCAUGACGAUCGUCCUCGAGAACUCCUUCCACGGUCUCCCUAGAUACGCCUUGCUCGCGGUUUUCACCGGAAUAUACGCCGGAUCUCCCACUAUAUGGCAGUUAUGGAGCACUAUUCCCGUCG
rnacentral:lncRNA from 1 species